CCUACGGGAGACAGCAGUGAGGAAUAUUGGUCAAUGGACGAGAGUCUGAACCAGCCAAGUAGCGUGAAGGAUGACUGCCCUAUGGGUUGUAAACUUCUUUUAUAUGGGAAUAAAAUGUUCCACGUGUGGGAUUUUGUAUGUACCCUAUGAAUAAGGAUCGGCUAACUCCGUGCCAGCAGCCGCGGUAAUACGGAGGAUCCGAGCGUUAUCCGGAUUUAUUGGGUUUAAAGGGCGCGUAGGUGGAUUGUUAAGUCAGUUGUGAAAGUUUGCGGCUCAACCGUAAAAUUGCAGUUGAAACUGGCAGUCUUGAGUACAGUAGAGGUGGGCGGAAUGCGUGGUGUAGCGGUGAAAUGCUUAGAUAUCACGAAGAACUCCGAUUGCGAAGGCAGUUCACUGGACUGCAACUGACACUGAGGCUCGAAAGUGUGGGUAUCAAACAGGAUUAGAUACCCCUGUAGUC
rnacentral:rRNA from 1 species